UACGGAGGGUGCAAGCGUUAUCCGGAUUCACUGGGUUUAAAGGGCGCGUAGGCGGCGCGGUAAGUCACUUGUGAAAUCUCUGAGCUUAACUCAGAACGGCCAAGUGAUACUGCAGUGCUAGAGUGCAGAAGGGGCAAUCGGAAUUCUUGGUGUAGCGGUGAAAUGCGUAGAUAUCAAGAGGAACACCUGAGGUGAAGACGGGUUGCUGGGCUGACACUGACGCUGAGUGCGCGAAAGCCAGGGGAGCAAACGGG
rnacentral:rRNA from 1 species